CCUACGGGUGGGCAGCAGUGGGGAAUUUUGGACAAUGGGCGCAAGCCUGAUCCAGCAAUGCCGCGUGAGUGAAGAAGGCCUUCGGGUUGUAAAGCUCUUUUGUCAGGGAAGAAACGGCAGUUUCUAAUACAGAUUGCUAAUGACGGUACCUGAAGAAUAAGCACCGGCUAACUACGUGCCAGCAGCCGCGGUAACACGUAGGGCGCAAGCGUUGUCCGGAAUUAUUGGGCGUAAAGAGCUCGUAGGCGGUCUGUUGCGUCCGCUGUGAAAACUCGGGGCUUAACCCCGAGCCUGCAGUGGAUACGGGCAGACUAGAGGUAGGUAGGGGAGAAUGGAAUUCCCGGUGUAGCGGUGAAAUGCGCAGAUAUCGGGAGGAACACCGGUGGCGAAGGCGGUUCUCUGGGCCUUACCUGACGCUGAGGAGCGAAAGCGUGGGGAGC
rnacentral:rRNA from 1 species